GGCAUGGUGGUUUAUUGGUUAGCACAUUUGUCUUGCACCUCCGGGGUUGUGGUUUCGAAUCCCACCUCCGCCC